ensembl:lncRNA
UUAAGUAAAAGAAAUGAAUUAUUUCUGGAGAAAAUGCUACAGUUCUUUCAAAAGCUGGGGGACACCACCAGUUGCUUUACAGCUAAAAAUAGUUACAUUUAAAUCUUAAUUUUUCUAUAUUUUAGCAAAUUAUGUAGUGGCGCUGUAAAGGGACUGGAUUCCAAGAGCUCAGGGAAGUCAGGGUGCUCACGAGGACCCUAGGAAACAAAAAUUGGCUAGGGCAAAGGGCCUAAAUUGUAAAUUGGAUUAAGAAUUGCAUCUCAGUUUCACAGUUAUUAUUAUGUGCCUGAUCAAGUUCCUUAUUCCAGUGCUUCGCUUCCCUUGUGUCUGACUUUGUCUCCCCAAAAAUAUAAACCGCUUCCUGACUUUUAUGGAAAAGUCAUUCUCAAAAUUAUAUUUCUAAGCAAGAGGUCAUCUUUUUGAUUAUAUAUACACAGUAUAUAAAGAUUUUUUUUUGCUUGGCUUGUGGUUUGAAAUGGUCGAUUAACAGAGAGAGUCUGUGAAACCGUGACAUUUUUUAAACUAUAUUUUUUUUAGGUCAUCAUACCAUGAAAAACUUCAAACCGUAACACCUCUAGCCACAAAUUAUAAAUCUGCCAUCUUUUGUAAACGUGCUAGCAUAUAAAUGAGCUACUCUGCUCACUACAGAGCAGGUAUACAGCAGUUACCCCCGCCCGCCUCUAAAACGCUACCUUAAACAGUCCGGACUGGGCCGAAUCGCCACUGACCUCCUCCUCCCUAUGGGAGCGCACUACAUAGGGUGUGAAAUAAUGGUUCCCGUACCCUAUCUAGUGCACUAUAUAUUGCAUACGGCGCCAUUUGACUCAUCCAAAGUUUCUGUCGUCUUUCUAUCUGAAUGAAGCCCAGUGAUGAUAUGAUUAUGAUUUAAUAUUAUAACCUCAAAUAACAUUUAAGUCGUAUUUCCCUCCAUGUUUUUCUCUCUCUUUCUUUCUAGAUAGCAAUAUUUCCAUGUUUAGGGAAAAUUAAACACAGCUUGCACAUCAGCUUCAAGGACGAUUUCUGUCCUGCUGCUAAAACAGAGAGGAAGUUGCUUCAUGGAAAAACUGUGAACAAUUUCUGUAUACUAAACAAACUAAGAAAUAACGAAUGAACAGUGGGGAAACUGCUUGCCUAUAGAGAAUGACAACUUUAUCAUCUACUAUUUUCAUGACACAAGAAAUCAAAUCCACUCAACUUUAUUGCCAAAUCUGUGUGAUCUAUGGAAAUCAUUUUAGUUCCACUUCAAAAAGUCACCAGGACAUCACAGACAAGAAUAAGAUGGAGCACAGCAAGAAGUUAUCGAGAGUCUAAUAUACUCACUUGUUGAAAAAGGGGCUUGUUUUGAUGACAGCGACAAGUUCCUCGUCUGUUAGCAAAUGUAAAGCAAACCAACCAACUUCAGAAAGGAGGGGGGAAAAAACACACGGACUGACUUAUGACUAGAACCAAAAACGCACACUACCCUACUAAAUAGUACUAAUACGGUUUAGUACGGUAUUGUGUGUUCACGGACGUAGCCUACUUCUUUAGUUUGAGGUAGACAUGUGAGUGAGUACUGACUUUCACUAUCAGACUAAAUGACUGCCACCUACAGCACUGGCGAUAAAGCCCAUAUGAUUGUGUAAAAUUGCCUAAGGCAG